rnacentral:rRNA from 1 species
AGAACGAACGCUGGCGGCACGCCUAACACAUGCAAGUCGAGCGCCCAGCAAUGGGAGCGGCGGACGGGUGAGUAACACGUGGGAACAUGCCUUUCGGUACGGAACAACUGCGGGAAACUGCAGCUAAUGCCGUAUACGCCCUUACGGGGAAAGAUUUAUCGCCGAAAGAUUGGCCCGCGUCUGAUUAGCUAGUUGGUGAGGUAACGGCUCACCAAGGCUUCGAUCAGUAGCUGGUUUGAGAGAACGACCAGCCACAUUGGGACUGAGACACGGCCCAAACUCCUACGGGAGGCAGCAGUGGGGAAUCUGGACAAUGGGGAAACCCUGAUCCAGCGAUGCCGCGUGAGUGAUGAAGGCCUUGGGUUGUAAAACUCUUUCGACGGGACGAUAAUGACGGUACCCGUAGAAGAAGCUCCGGCUAACUUCGCGCCAGCAGCCGC